UGAGAAGGCAUGGAUGUUGCCAGGUC
rnacentral:piRNA from 1 species